rnacentral:lncRNA from 1 species
CCCAGCCCGGAGGCCCUCGCGCGUCCCCUGCCGGGAGAAGGAGCCCUGGUCUCCCGCGGCCAGGGCCUCUCGGCCUCCCCAGUCGCGGGCUCGGACAGCACUGUCUCUGCCCAACAGCUUGCCUGUUCCAAGCAGCUGCAAGCUUGUUCUCAAGCCAGAAGACAAUGACUGCCCUCACUGAAGCAGAGAUCGAAAUUGGCACCUGCCCUCCUUUGCUUCUCUGUAUAGCAAAACUCCCUUAAGAGUUGUCUCUAUUUGGGUGGGGGAUUUAGCUCAGUGGUUUUGCCGCCUGCUGUGCAAGCACAAGGACCCAAGUUCAAUCCCCGGUACCAAAAAAAAAAAAAAAGAGUUGUUUCUAUUUGUCUCCAUUCCUCUCCUCCAUUCUCUUGUGAAUCUGAUUGUGGUGGACAGUGCCCAGUAGCCCACCUCCUGCAAUUCAUGCCCUUGUCAGACCCCUGCCCUUGGUGUGGGGUGAACAGUAGAAGUGAUAGGAUGGCACACAAAAAGAUGCCAAGCAUGCUGUGUCAUGAAGGAAUUGCAUAUUAAAGCAGCACUGAGAUACUACUACACACCCACUGGAAUCACUGAAAUCCCAAACACUGACACCUUCAAAUGUUGGUGAGGAUGCGGAGCAACAGGAAUGCUCAUUCAUUGCUAGUGGGAAUGCAAAAUGGAGUAUUUGGAAGACCAUUUGUUGGUUUGUUACAAAGCUGAACAUACUUUUACCACAUGAUCCAGGAAUUUUACUCCUUGGUAUUUACCCAGGGGAGUUGAACACUUAUGUGCACACAAACACCUGUGCACAAAUGAUUAUAUCAACUUUAUUCAUAACCACCAAAAUUUGAGAGGGCAAGGGGAAUUUUUAAAAAUCAAGAUGCAAUGUUUAUAUGUACCAAUUCUCUAAAAUGAAUGUAUUUAUUAUGUAUUGCAAACAUAUACUAAUAAAAUUUUUUUAAAAAUUGGGAGCAACCAAGAUGUUCUUCUGUAGGUGAAUGAAUAAACUGUGGUUCAUCGAGACCACAGAAUAUUUAGCACUAAAUAAAAUGAGCUAUCAACUCACAAAAGGACAUGCAGAAAGCUUGAAGGCAUGUUACAAAGUGAAUGAAGCCAAUCUGAAAAGGCUACAUAUUGUAUGAUUCCAACUAUUUAACAUUUAGAAAAGGCAAAACUGGAGACAGUGAGAAGAUCAGUGAUUGCCAGACAGUGGGGGAAGGGAAGAUGGAUGAAUGGAAUGAGAUUUUUGGCAGUGAGAGUAGAAAUUCUGUAUGAUACAUUCAUGAAAAUCCAGAGUGUCUAACACAGAGUGAACCCUAAUGAAAUCUAUGAACUUUGCUUGGUAAUGAUGUGUCAGUGUAGGUUCACCAAUUGUAACAAAUGUACCACCUCGGAAUGGGAUGCUGAUAGUGAGG